GACGAACGCUGGCGGCGUGCUUAACACAUGCAAGUCGAACGGAAAGGCCCCUUUGGGGGUACUCGAGUGGCAAACGGGUGAGUAACACGUGAGUAACCUGCCCUUGACUUCGGGAUAACUUCAGGAAACUGGGGCUAAUACCGGAUAGGAAUCCUUGCUGCAUGGUGGGGGUUGGAAAGCUUCGGCGGUUUUGGAUGGACUCGCGGCUUAUCAGCUUGUUGGUGGGGUAGUGGCUUACCAAGGCUUUGACGGGUAGCCGGCCUGAGAGGGCGACCGGCCACAUUGGGACUGAGAUACGGCCCAGACUCCUACGGGAGGCAGCAGUGGGGAAUAUUGCACAAUGGGCGGAAGCCUGAUGCAGCAACGCCGCGUGCGGGAUGACGGCCUUCGGGUUGUAAACCGCUUUCAGCAGGGGCGAAGCUUGUGGUGACGGUACCUGCAGAAGAAGCACCGGCUAACUACGUG
rnacentral:rRNA from 1 species